AUGAACGCAUUCCUCGCACAAGAACAAGCUGACAGUAGCACUUCCCCACAAACAACCGUGACGACCGAAGAGACGACAACGAAGAAACUUAGAGGGAAAGUACGUGCUCGACAGAGGUACCAGGGUAGAACGUCGACAACCGAGACUCCAGAGGAACAAAAUUACCCCAAGAACUUCCGCACGCAAGAACAAGCCGAUCGAACCAGCCAAAACUACCCUGUUUACAGACCCACAGAAGCUGCAGUUACCGAAGAAACCGCCUCCUCGGAGAGCACCCCAUCAAGAGUGGACAAGUACAACAGAUUCAAUCGAAGGAGGCCCCUACGACCAGCAUCUACUUCAACCACCACUUCAAGCUCUGAAGAGGUUUCAACCGCUGCAACCAGGACUCGAGUGAAAGCAACCAGAGCACCACCAACAGCCUCAAGAGCUUUAAGUGGCCGAACCAGAUCGAGAAGGCCCGGCACCUUGACCACCGAGGCUCCAUCAACCACCUCAACUACCGAAUCUACUUCGACGGAAAGUUUAGACUGGGGCACGUACGUCAAUAGUUUUGCCCCCUCAGCAGGGGCCAACGAGAUUGCGAGUCCGUAUGAUGACAAAUCCAUAACCUUCCACAAUAUCGAAUCCCACAGGAGAAACCCCAGCUACAACAAGGUGAAAAAUGAUGGUUACUGGAACAACGGUGUUACGAUCCAACAAAGCGAAGGAGUUGAGGUGAACCCAGAGACAUUCGCACCCACUGAGUCCACUGCUGCGUCGCGGUCUUACACGAGAGCCGACACGGAGAGCAGCGCGACAACCAGAGGGCUGGACAGGAAGGCACUCUACAGACAGAGGCUCAGACAAGGCGCUGUUCAGAAUGACGAAGCAAAUGUUGCAGCUCAACAGAAUCAGCUGAGGAGGGCUAAUGUGCAUAAGGAGAGAAUUGCGGCUAAGAAGUUGGCUGAAGCCCGAGACCGGGAUGCUACUAGCUAUGAUGGAAACAGCUUACAAAGCGAGGGACGUCAAAGAGGAGAGGAGGAUAGUCAACAGAACAGAGAAACAAGCUCGCAGAGUGAAGGAAGACAGAGAGGUGACGGUUUUGACAAUCAGCAGAACUUUGAAACGAACAGGGACUCAGACGCCGAGCAACAGAGGAACACUGAAUCAGCCGCUGGUAAAAAGGCUGUAGUUGGACGCAGGCGAGGCGCCUGGGUGCGAGUCCGCGUAAAGAAGCCGCAAGACGUGUUCGAAACCGCCGAGUCUCAGAGCUUUGCUAAACUCUCCGGAAACGCGCUGAAGAACAUCGAAAAACCCCAGCCGGAAGCCGGGAAGGAACAGUACGUCAAACAAGUCUCCGUGGACCAAGUAUCUCUAGUCGCAGACUCCGCUCAAACCAACCCGAUCCCGGAGGAACAGAAACCCGAAGAAUCAUCACCACAGCCGGAGACACCGGAAGUAACUGCGCAAGACUCGGCCCCGGAAGUCACCCCCGAAGACAUCAGCCCUCAGGUGUUCCAGAAGGACAUCGGGGACAUGAUCCGGCAGAUCAUCAACGGGGAGAGCGAGGUCGACGAGGCCGAGAGCCACAGGGACCAAGAGUCGACGGAGGUGACCGACGAUCGACAGGUCAGCGAGAUGCUUGUCGCCACGACGACCCCGGUCGCGCCGAAGAACGUCUCAGUGGCGGCGACGACGACGGAACUGGAGGCGGAGACGACGCGGCAUCCGGAGGAGGAAGUAACGACGUACGCCACAACUAUCGAGCCGGAAGCCGAGAGGAGCCGGCCCACCGAACCCAUCACGAGGAGGGCCGUCCCCACGGCGACCACGACUGAGAUCUCCUUGGAGACAGAGAUCUGCUACAAGGGAAGGUGCGUUAAGAGUAAAAAGACUAAAGCAACUGACUCCUGCCUUCGGAAUAGAAUGUAAAUCUGUAGAGGAGCCCAUUUGCAAAAUAUUAAAUUUUGGGUCUGAAAGGUCUCUCUCCAUCUCGUUCUCUCCUUUUCUCUGUCUCCUCAUAUUAUGACCCCCGCCAUGUAGACGAGAUGUACCGCUGCGUUAUGGAAGGACAAUUGUUCCGAAGGGAUCAGCUAAAAAACGAGAGGGACGUGUUUAAUUCCUUAAAAAGAUGCAUAAAUUCUGCAGAUCAUUAAUUUCUUCGGGAGGAAAAUCACUGCGCAUUAUUCCUUUGGAAUGCUGUAUUGAAAACUUAUGUCGACCAACUGCUUUGUGAAAUUAGGAAUCUGGAAAAUUUGAGCAGCACUAGAAUGAUAUAAUCAGCCACUGAUUUUAACUAUCUAUUUAAAUACAUAGCACGUGUUUCGCUGACACUGAUAAAAUACUCAAUAUGUUCGUUUCAUAUCGUACUGCGGGAAAAAUCGUCGAUUUUAGUGAGAUGAGAGAAUGAGCUAUUCGUGUAUCCCUUGCUCAAUGAUCACCUCUUACUUUUGUUAAAAAAAGGAGAGUCGAGGAACUAAAGAAAAAAAGAGACCGAUGAAAAGAAAACUAAAGAAAAGAAGUCUAAGAGUCUAGAAAAAAAAAGAAUUAAGUAUCAUUCUAUGGUGAAAUACUGGGCAAAAAUGAGCCCUAACACAUGGAUUCUUUAAUCGCACUGUUUCAUACCAUUCUGUGUCAAGGAAUAAACACUUUUCCCAUUUAAUUAAAAAACUUACAGGUGAAAAAACGGGUACCAUUGGACAGUUAUGGUAGCCUCUAUGCAGGCUUGAUGUUGCUGAAUACAUAUUAGGAUAGUAGAUUCUUUUAAACACUCAAAGUUUAAAAAAUGUUAAAGUCAAAAAGAAGGAAAGAAAAAAAUCAUGUUAACAAUGAGCUCCUUCCAGUUGAUUUUUCGUUGGUAAAAUUUUGAGGUCAGAAUUUUCUUCACAGAAUGCAUUGAUGUGGUGCAGUGACAUGAGAUUUUAAUACCCCUAUAUUUUCCUGUGACAAAAUCAUUUACUCAACUACCCUCUGAUGGUAGUGGAUUGACUUUAGUCUGUAGAUCUUUCUCUGAACCUUCGAUUCCCAUCAGAAUACAUCAAUUUAGGAGAUUCACAAAUUAUUUAAAAUAUUUCGUGUAUGAGUAAGAAUAUUAUUUCGUACUUAUACCGAAUAAUCUAUACUCCAGUUGGGUAACAUUAUACUCCAAGAAACCAAAGCCAUCAGAUCACCUAAUUUUUGUCAUACACUAAAAUAUGGUGAGUCACUUGGUUUUUUUAGUUUUUAACUUUACACUCAAGUCUUUGAUUCCACUCACAUCAUGAUAAGACCUACCGUGUGAUUAAAUAUUUGUUUAAGAACUGAUCGUCAAGUCAAAUAUGUUUCAAAUUAAGUAUGUAAAUAUGUAGUACGUAUGUUAAUGUUACUUUGAUUUUAAGUAUUUAUAAUAAGUAAUUCAAUGUACUGUUUUGAAGAUUUCCAUACCUUCACUUUUAAAAAUCUGCAAUCAACUUAGAUAAAUAACAAUGCCAUUUGAUGAAUAAGGAGCCAUAAAGAAGAGUCGAAAAGGUAAGAGAAAAAUAAUUCAGGUAACAACGAAAUUAUCACCUGGAGACUUCAAUUUGGAAAGACUUUCAUACAAAUAUCAGGUUCUCUACGAUCAAAAUUUCUCAUCCGCAUCAAAAUGAAUCAUCGCCAAAUGUAAGAGAAUUAGGCGAGUUAAAAGCAGAGUUGAAGUUAUCAUUUCGUCAUCUCAAUAGAUUUUUGAAAUUUGAAUUUUUUGGUCCUCAGGGUCUCCAUGAGACUUAGUGACCAUACACCUGCAAUAAAGGUGCUCUACAAUCUACAAGUAAGAGCAGAUUCGCGGCUUCGGCGAUUCAAUUUCGAACCAUACUGCCGUGCUAAGGAAGAACGCCGUAUGAGCCUUCAGACAUUGCCAAGUUUCCUCCGAUACAAACCGAAUUUACUGGGAAAAUUGCGAAUAUUAUUUUCCAAAAUUUUCAGACAAUUGUGUACGCAAUUUAAUCUAAAAUAUCUGGAAAUUUCGAUGGAAAACAUAUGAGAAUGUGGUCAAAAAUACAUGUUUUAUAGAGGGGAAUUUGGCAACUCUCGUAAGUUCAUACGACUUUUUCCCUUAGCACGGCAGCAUAGGCAAGGAUGCCGUAACAACGGAUAACAGCUGAAAAUUGAAUUGUUCGAGGUCAAAGCACACCGAAGACCAACUGCUAGUCAACAAAUGACCUACAUCGCCCCACUAGGUUCCCGACACCAUUCUUGAACGUGAACGUUCAAUGCUCUCUGCGAGAUAACGUUCACUGCACUCUCAUUCAAGAAGUCUCAAUUCAGGAUCUGUAAGAAUCCAGAUACCAUUUAAAAAUGUAUUCCAACAAGAAAAAAACUUACAUCAUGGUCAUACUAUGGCGAUUUUUGGCCCUCAAAUUUUAGACAAUGAGGAGACGUCAUGAUUUAAAGGCCCAGUUGAGUCAUUUUGGAAAGGAAGGGUAUAGAUAGGACCCGCCCUGCGGGCCGAUUAUUAAAAUUGAUAGACAAAGCUAUAGACAAAGAAGACGCAAGAAGUAUACAGCGAUCCUAUUGGUUGAAAUGGGUAGUUCUUAUAGACUAAGGGAGAAAAUGAUGGACCAACUAUCGGGUCUCUUGUGGGUUGCCGUUAGUUAGUCUGUAACCUACGUUCUUUGUCCAUUGCAACCAUCCACCUACACCAAUAGGAUCCCUCCAUAUCCUUUUUGUCUUCUUUGUCUAUCAAUUUCAAUAAUCACUGAUCAGCCCGCUGGCUGAAUUCCUCAACUAUACGAUUUUUUCUUAUUGAAAGGUCUACAUUUUAUGGAAUGCAUCAUUAUUGGUUAUUUUCGGUCUCUUACAAGUUUAAUACUGGCCGAGGGUCUGAGGCCAGUGCCGGCGAAAAAUGCUGAUUUUUCGGCAUUCCAACGCAAACCCGCAUUUUGUCAAAAUCUACCUUUCAGACCCAUUUUUAGGCCAGUAGCAGAUGUAAAAAGAAACCGAAUUGUGAUGAAUUCCUCAGAGUAAAGAAAUUAAAUAAGCAAAUAAUUGUAGAGUUAAUGGAAUUGAGCUGGUGGGUCUAGAAACAGCCCUUAUCGAUGUCCCUGUUUUUACUUUCCUUCCUUAUCGUGAUGUUAGAUUUGGACGUAUUUCUGCCAAACGGAACUAUGUGCAUUAAGACGUGAACCAUGUUGUUCAUACAUUCUCAUGGGUCUCAAGGCUCAUGUCCUUUUGCACAUAGUUCCGUUUGGCAGAAAUACGUCCAUUUGAGGCUGAGGAUGGCGAAAAUUUCAAAAUUUCACGGCGAAGCACAUCGACAAAAAACGCCCAAAGUAAAACAUUCAACCUUAUGAUACACUUAUGCCACCUUGAUUUUUACUGUAUUUUCUUGUCCACCGGUGGGCGUGAUUUCAAAGUACUAAGAGGUGUGUCAGUGUGACACAUGCCAAGCUGUGACUCAGUGGCGAGGUGAGAAUGAUCGAUUAUCGAUAUUUCCUCCAUUUGAAGCUAUAGUAAAGAAUCGAUUAUUCUGGUGUUCGUUGAGACCCAACCAUGUUCAUCGAUGCUUUUCCAUGAGUUUAGGUGGCAGAUCAAUCGAUAUAUUGCAAAGCACGCUACGCCACUGCUGCUAAAUUCAGAAAUUAGAGCUCACGGCAUCCGAUGAACGAGGUGGAAAACCAACCGAAAGUUAAACUCAUUGGUCCGACUAGAAAGUGAAUGAGUUAUACCUGAUGCCAUACUUAUUUAAAGAUACAAUUAAUUAUUAACAAAUUAAUGAAACUUGGCGCCCUCGCGGGUUACCGUAGCCUCUAAUCGUACGAGUUUCGAUGAAAUAAGAACCUCCGAACUCAAGAUUUUGUUACUUUUCUUUAGAUGAAACGAGUCUCUCUUUUUCUAAAUUUUGAUAAGUUAUUAGAUUGUGAGUGUGAAUGAGGACACCUUACACGUCAAAAGGGCUAAGUGCAUUACGAUUGUGUUGAGAGAAAAUUACAUUAACGUAAAUUACGUAGUUACAGUUACGUAAGUUAUGUCAGUUACAUUACGUAAAUAACAUUUACGUUCUGAAUGCACGUUGCAUUAAAUAAUGAUUGUCAAGUUAAGGAGAUACAUCUAAAUCAUAAACACUCAAUUUUGUGAGGUGUAUGUUCAUGCUCAUGCUCCAUGCGAUGUUUUCGAAUUAAAACCUUUGGUAAAAUAGUUGAUCGAUAGAUCUUAAAAAUAAUACGAAAACCCAUUUUGCGCAAAAAUAAAUACAAAAAUAAAAUGAAAUGUGUUAUUUUCACUCGGUGUUUUCGACUCUGUGAUGCACCUAGUCCUAUUGGCCUGUAAGGAACUCAAAUUAUUUAUUUAUUUAGGUAUUGUAUGAAUUGUACAUUCGCUAAUAUUAGAACAAUGUAUAUUUUAGUUAAUUUGUGGUGCUCAAUAUAUUAGGCCGGGAGGUUGCAUUGGUGCGCCGAUUAAAACAAUUCCCAAUAGAAGUUCAAAUGUGUCGGCUGAAAAGGUAUCGUAUUUUCCCAUUCUUACGACGCAUGCGAGUGGGUUUUUGACUUCUUGUUAGUUUAUUGUUAAGUACCAGCAAGAAAUAUGUAUACGGUAAUUGUUUUUGAAAUUUAGGUUCAAAACGAAAUAAUAAUAAUGAAAAAGAGAAUAUGCUGGCUCUGCUGAUAUUAAAAAAUUACCAUGUUAGUAAGAUCCAUUCGCCAGCUUUAAAAACCGUACUAAGCCCAACUACAUGUCCAGAUAAUUAAUUUAUGUAUUAUAAUUUUUAAAGAAAUUAUCUUAAGAUGUAAAUUAAAAUAUCGAAUAUAUUUUUUUUCUAAUUGUACUUGAUGUUUUUUUAUUCAAUGCACUUCAUUGAUGAUCCCUGGGUAAAAUCAACAUAUUCAAAGAGGCCUACGGAUUUUUUGAAGUCGACAAA
rnacentral:lncRNA from 1 species